UCAUUGAAUGUUUCUAAGAUCUUUAGCAAUAUGUCCAUUGGAUUGAAGUGAUUUUUUAUAUAUAGAUAUUAAUCUUAAUUUCCAAUAUUUGGAUGAAAGUUGAGAGCAAUUUAAUAGCUCAAAAAGGAGAUAUUGGUACUAGAAGUUUAGUAUUUAAGUUGGAGUAAGUGGCCACUAAAUACUUGAUUGGAUUAUCUUGUAUUUCUAUCAAUUGAUAAGUAUCAUUAAUUUCAUUUUUCUUGUGCUUAUUCCUAACUAAAAUAUUAACAAGUAUGCAAAUUUUGAGUUGAUAUCAACAGUUUGAUCAUUAGUUGUUGAGGUUCCAAUUUGCUAUUAGAUUUGUUAAGAAAUUAUUUAAGAUCUAAAGUUUGAUUUAGAACUUAUCUAAGGUUUAGGAUUUCAUUAAGGUUUGACAUAAAAUUUUAUUAAGAUUCAAUUAGGAUUUCAUUAGGAUUUAAUCCAAGGUUUGCUUA
rnacentral:lncRNA from 1 species